CCUCCUCCUCAUCCCCUUUCUUCGUCCUCCGUUUUCUAGGGUUUUGAUUUCCCGGAGACGUUCCCGUUCGCGGAUCUCCUCCCACAGCCAUACUCCAUGGACGCUUCGUCUCUCAAUUCUGCUGAACUGCAACGACUUAUCUCUCAAGAGAAGGAAAGGGCCAUGGUCAAUGAGAUGGUGGCUAAGCUUACUAGUUCAUGCUGGGACAAAUGCAUCACUGGGACGCCUGGAAGUAAGUUCAGUUCUAGCGAAUCAACUUGCCUUGCUAACUGUGCUCAGCGCUACAUGGAUAUGAGCAUAAUUAUCAUGAAACGCUUUCAGUCUAUGCAAUAGAAUCAUGGAUGUGGAAGAAAAAAAAGCAGUAUAAUCCACAAUGUCAUAGCAACUCUGUUAUUUUAGCAAUUGUUGAUUGAGAGUAUCAGCAUUUUUGGAAUUGAGGAAUGUUAUUUUUUGAAGAAUUAAUGAGCCAUUCUCUUGUAUUUUAGAAGCGUCUGUGUUUUUGUCACCACCACAUUUGCAGUCCCCUCCUUUGAAACGCUCCUGUGUCCUUUCGUCCUACUAUUCCCUUCCCUCUUAAAAAUAAAAUAAAAUAAAAUAAAAUAAAAU